AUUGAACGCUGGCGGCAGGCCUAACACAUGUAAGUCGAGCGGUAGCACAGGAGAGCUUGCUCUCUGGGUGACGAGCGGCGGACGGGUGAGUAAUGUCUGGGAAACUGCCUGAUGGAGGGGGAUAACUACUGGAAACGGUAGCUAAUACCGCAUAACGUCGCAAGACCAAAGAGGGGGACUUUCGGGCCUCUUGCCAUCAGAUGUGCCCAGAUGGGAUUAGCUAGUAGGUGGGGUAAUGGCUCACCUAGGCGACGAUCCCUAGCUGGUCUGAGAGGAUGACCAGCCACACUGGAACUGAGACACGGUCCAGACUCCUACGGGAGGCAGCAGUGGGGAAUAUUGCACAAUGGGCGCAAGCCUGAUGCAGCCAUGCCGCGUGUAUGAAGAAGGCCUUCGGGUUGUAAAGUACUUUCAGCGGGGAGGAAGGUGUUGAGGUUAAUAACCUCAGCAAUUGACGUUACCCGCAGAAGAAGCACCAGCUAACUCCGUGCCAGCCGCCGCGGUAAGAC
rnacentral:rRNA from 1 species